ensembl:lncRNA
GAAUAGUCAGAUAUGACUGAGUGACUUCCCUUUCACUUUUCACUUUCAUGCAUUGGAGAAGGAAAUGGCAGCCCACUCCAGUGUUCUUGCCUGGAGAAUCCCAGGGACGGGGGCGCCUGGUGGGCUGCCGUCUAUGGGGUCGCACAGAGUCGGACACGACUGAAGCGACUUAGCAGCAGCAGCAGCAAUACUACCAUGGCAUAUGAAAUGUUAAGAAAAAGAAAAGACCUAAAAUAAAUCAGGACAGUGGCAGUGAUAGUAGAAAAUGAAGAAAGCCAUUUGGAGGCUGAAGUUACAGAUUAUAAAAUUGGGCAAAAGGGAGACAUAAGAAUAUUGUUCUAGGGCUCGGCUGCGCGCGCACCGCCCCUCGCACCAGUGCGCGCGGCCCGCCCCAUUCCCCGCCGGCGCUCGGAGCCCGAGUCCGCGGGAAGAUGGCGGCCCGCUCAUCCCCUUUCCCAGCAGAUUCCCGCUGGAAAUCCAUUAUAUGAGUCUUACUACAAGCAGGUAGACCCAGCAUACACAGGGCGAGUUGGGGCGAGUGAAGCUGCACUUUUUCUAAAGAAGUCUGGACUCUCAGACAUAAAAAAAAAAAAAGAAUAUUGUUCUACAUCUGAGCCACUGAAAAGCCAUUAAUCAAGAUAGGAACAUGAAAGAGGUCAAGGCUGAGACUCAGACCAGGAAAACCUUUCCCUUUCAGGGAGGUAAGAAGCUUCCAGGUCUGUUUCCUAAGGUCCCUACUUUCCUCCACUGCUUCUUCAGGACAUCUCUACAGCUUGAACCGCUGAGUAAGGUUCCAAAGGCCCAGCAGCCCAAUCCCAGCCACACACAAGAUGGCAGCCAAACACCUACCAGAGGAAACAGACGAACCACCACUCCAGCGAUGCCGGCCUCUCGACUGUGGAUAUCCGCAUUGGUCCAGUAGGAGAGCGCGAGACAACCCGAGAACUCUGACAGCCAAUCGGAAGGCGGCGCGCUGAAGCGCCGCCGCGUUGCAGGCUGUACGUGCUCGGAACCUCUAAGGCGUUGCAGGCUGUACGCGCUCGGAAUCCGGUGGGGGUGUGCAGCCAAUGAGCUAGGGGCUGGGAAGUGGGAGCGGUCGAUGUCCUACUCCUCCCAUUUCGGGUUCAAGGACCUUAGAAAUAUGGGCGGUCCUCCCUACCCAGCUGAGGCGAGGCGGGACUGUUGGCUGAGGUGAGGUCUAGUAAACGGUGAAGUACUUCCCGGCCAGGGGGCACCUGAGGCCGCGGGUUCUCGGCGGCGUGGAGUGGGAGAGGAGUCCGACGCGCGGGGAACUCAGCCUCGCCAGCGUGGCGGGCGGAGCGCAGCUUUCGACUGUCGCGGGCUGCGUGGAAAGCGUUAGCUGAGCUAAUGUAACUGCCGUGGGUGGCCCUCCCGAAGGCUCUUUCGGUCCAGGACCAGGGAACGCGGCGGAACUCUCUGCCGCCUGGAUCCCAGCCCUUGGGACCUCCCUUCUCCCUUUGACGCGUGUUCAGUCCCGAGCUGAAGAGGGGGACCGCGGGCGCCCUGAGUUCUCACCCCCCGCAUUUCAGUCUCUUGUCAUCCGGUUGCACACAUUCUUGAGAGGUGAUUUCUAAAGCAGCUGGGAACCUGAAGCUGUAAUGGGGGCUGCGGAAAAUGAACUGCAGCCCAAAAUCCAGAAGCAGAACUUGGUGGUUUAACCACUGACCCAUUUCACAGGUAAGACUACAGAAACGCUGAAUAAAUAAAAUCGUUUCCCCAAUAUCACGGAGUUGAGAGCAGAUGCUCAGAGCUCCUCUCAUUAACCACAACCCAAUAGGUAGUUAUCCCCAAUAGGUAGGAAAUAAAAUAAACAAUACGUAAUUGUGCUCAUCAGCAAGUGAAAUCCUGCAGUGAGUUCUCUGUGUGUUAAGAAUGAGGCGGUAGAUUAAAAGGAUCAAAAACGGGCUCAGAAACCAGGCUGCUUGGUUCCUUAGUCUGUCUUUGCCAUGUACAGUGUAACAUGCUUUAGCCUCUUUGUGAGGAAAACCAGGCAUGCUGCAGUUUGUCCCUCGUGAUUGUUACGCAGGUUAGUAAGAACACGGGAAGUGUUUAGAGGCCUGCCUGACACAUGGUUUAUACUCAAUAAAUGUUCAUUACUGUCAUCACUGUUAAAACAUAACAGAAGAAAUGGUCACAGUUUCACAAAAGCCUAUUGGUGAAAACGAACCAUAAAUCGAAGCGAAACACUAUUUUCCUGCCAAAAUGAAAAAGAAGGGAAAAUAUGAACAAAUUUUUAAAUACUGUUACAAUCUAAAGUUAAAUUGGUAGUCUCUGGAUGAUGAGAUUAUGAAAGAUUUAAAUUUUCUUCUCUAUGCUUUACAAUAUUCUGCAGAUUUACUGAAGAAAACCUUUUUUGUGAUUACUAACAUAAUUGGCCUUUUUCACAUCCUCUUUUUUUACGAUGUUUCUAUUCCUAUCUUUUGUAUUUUGUAUUUUUCCAUUUUUCUUUUUAAAUGAGGUUAGCCCCAAGUUUUCUUUGUUCUGUUUUCUUUUUCAUACUGUACUUUUACAUUUUUUAAAAUUUUUAUUGGAGGAUAGUUGCUUUACAAUGUGUCACCUUUAUAUUUUUAAUGCAAUUCAUACAUUUAGUUCGUAUUGAUAUCCUCUCUACAAAGAACUUAGUGUGAUUUACUUUACUUUCUGUAAUCUUACAAUCCCCUUCUGUCCCUCCUCCAAAAAAAACCGUUUCCUGUGGUUUUAUUUUCUAGCAUUAUUUCAUUUGUCAUUAAAACCCACUUUAAAUCUGUUUUUAAUCUAGUAUUAAUGUGUUUUAUUUACGUAUUUGCUCACUUUUGUUUCUUUUACUUCAGUACUUCCUUCUAGGUUAGUUUUUAUUAAUGAAGUACUUCUUCAUUUCUUUCAGAGUCUCUGAAUGGCUCUUUGAGUGUCUGUAAGAGUCUUUUUUUGUUUUUAAACUCUUGCUGUUGAAACAUAAGGUGGCUGGAAUAGUAUUCUGGAUUCAGACUUAUUUUCCCUUAACAUUUUGCAUCGACAUUUCUGAUGAGAAGUCUGAUUACCAGUUUGAUAAACGUUCAUUUUAAAUCAUCUAGAUUUUCUGAAAGUUUCUGAGGCUUUGUCUUUAUUCUUGAUGUUCUGAAGUUUACCCAUGGUUUGUCUAGUGGUUUGUAUUAAUAAGUUUAUUUUGUUACUCAGUGGACCAUUAGUGGCCUAUGUGUUUUCCAGUUAUAAGAAUUUUUUGAUCAUUAUUGCCUUGUCUUCUUUCUACUUACCCCCCCUUUUUUUUUUUGCCAGUUCUUUGCUCUGUAUUCUGAGUGAGUUACUCAACUUUGUCUCCUAGCUUACUAACUGGCUCUUCAUCUGAAUCUGUUACUGUGACUGUUAAUUAUUGAGUUUAUUUAACAACUACUUUUAUAUCCAAGAUAUCCAGUUAAUUAUUUUUCGGAAUUGUAUGUUAUUUCUUUAGCUCUUUUAUAUUAAAUACAAUAAUAUUUGUUUUAAAAUUAUUUUCAGGAUGCUCCGUUAAUUCUCUUUAAUUCAAUUCAAUUCAUCAGUUUGGUGGGCUUGUUAAGUCUCUUCCAUGGUGUAACUUUUUUCAGAUGUUUGAUGACUCUUGGUUGUAUAUACUCAUCUCCUGUGAGAGAAUCUGCUCUUUAUUUUGCCAUGGUACGUUUGUGGUUGGCAUUAUCUUUGCAACUUCCCAUCUGUUUGCUUUCCACAGAGAGGUCCCACAGACUCAGUCUAUAGAUAAUUUCCUUUUUAUUUUCAGCAUGAUUCUAUAUUUUUAAUUAAAAAAUUAAGAUUUCUGUGAAUUCGGUGUGGGAGUAGGAGAAGAAUUUACCAUGUGUUGACUAACAUCCUGAGACUAAAAGUGCUGACCUCUUUUUGACCUUUAGUUCUGCCUCUAAGUGUGUAUCUAAUCAGGGAUAGCCAUAAAGUAUAUUCCAUCAUUAUUUACUGUAUUGGAAAAAUAGAAAUAAUCUAAAUGUCUGAUAUAGAAGUUUACUUAAUAACUUACUACAUUUUAAUUAUUAAAAUUCUUUAGUAUAAUUUAACUUAAUGGAUUAUUGACCAAAGUAUAUUGUACAAUCACUUAAAAGGUCAUAUUAUAAGAAAACAUUAAUGAUGAGAGAAAGUGCAAGAUAUAUUAUCAAUGAAAAUUAUAAAAAUUUAUAUAUACUAAAAUUCAAAUUUUGUUUUUAAAGUAUAUAUACGGAAAGAAUAAUAAUAACUGUUAGGAUUUAUUGAGUCCUUUGUAAUGUGCCGGGUAUUAUUCUAAGGAAUUAAGUCAGCCUCACAACAGUCUUUUGAAGUAAUUAACAUUAUUAGCCCCGUUUAAAAGUUUUUAAAGGUUUAUGAAAUGGAGAUAGUUUAUAUUAAUUAACAUAUAUUUUAAAUAGGUAGUUUUGAAUUUUUCUAUAAUAUUUGUAAUGUUGAUAUUUUGCAUGUUUUUCCAGUUAAUAUGUAUUCUUUUUUCAUGAUAAUUCAUGCUAUUUUAAAAGAUAGAGCUAUUGUUACAACAGCCCUUUUUUUCUGAUAUAUUUUAUUAUUUUCAAAUAUGCCAUUUACCAU